ACAGCAGCCGCCGCGGUAAUACGUAGGUGGCAAGCGUUAUCCGGAAUUAUUGGGCGUAAAGCGCGCGUAGGCGGUUUUUUAAGUCUGAUGUGAAAGCCCACGGCUCAACCGUGGGGGGUCAUUGGAAACUGGAAAACUUGAGUGCAGAAGAGGAAAGUGGAAUUCCAUGUGUAGCGGUGAAAUGCGCAGAGAUAUGGAGGAACACCAGUGGCGAAGGCGACUUUCUGGUCUGUAACUGACGCUGAUGUGCGAAAGCGUGGGGAUCAAACAGGAUUAGAUACCCCAGUAGUCCCUGUCUCUUAUAC
rnacentral:rRNA from 1 species